AACGAACGCUGGCGGCAUGCCUAACACAUGCAAGUCGAACGAGACCUUCGGGUCUAGUGGCGCACGGGUGCGUAACGCGUGGGAACCUGCCCUUAGGUUCGGAAUAACUCCCCGAAAGGGGUGCUAAUACCGGAUAAUGUCUUCGGACCAAAGAUUUAUCGCCUUUGGAUGGGCCCGCGUUGGAUUAGCUAGUUGGUAGGGUAAAAGCCUACCAAGGCGACGAUCCAUAGCUGGUCUGAGAGGAUGAUCAGCCACACUGGGACUGAGACACGGCCCAGACUCCUACGGGAGGCAGCAGUGGGGAAUAUUGGACAAUGGGCGAAAGCCUGAUCCAGCAAGGCCGCGUGAGUGAUGAAGGCCGUAGGGUUGUAAAGCGCUUGUACCCGGGAUGAUAAUGACAGUACCGGGAGAAUAAGCUCCGGCUAACUCCGUG
rnacentral:rRNA from 1 species